rnacentral:rRNA from 1 species
GAGUGAAACUCAAAGGAAUUGACGGGGACCCGCACAAGUAGCGGAGCAUGUGGUUUAAUUCGAAGCAACGCGAAGAACCUUACCUAAGCUUGACAUCCCAAUGACAUCUCCUUAAUCGGAGAGUUCCCUUCGGGGACAUUGGUGACAGGUGGUGCAUGGUUGUCGUCAGCUCGUGUCGUGAGAUGUUGGGUUAAGUCCCGCAACGAGCGCAACCCUUGUCUUUAGUUGCCAUCAUUAAGUUGGGCACUCUAGAGAGACUGCCAGGGAUAACCUGGAGGAAGGUGGGGAUGACGUCAAAUCAUCAUGCCCCUUAUGCUUAGGGCUACACACGUGCUACAAUGGGUAGUACAGAGGGUUGCCAAGCCGUAAGGUGGAGCUAAUCCCUUAAAGCUACUCUCAGUUCGGAUUGUAGGCUGAAACUCGCCUACAUGAAGCUGGAGUUACUAGUAAUCGCAGAUCAGAAUGCUGCGGUGAAUGCGUUCCCGGGUCUUGUACACACCGCCCGUCACACCACGGGAGUUGGAG